AUGAUAUACAUAAUGACUUUGGAGGUAGAAAGGGUGAUAGAACAGGGUUGGUAUGAAGACAAAAGAAAACAUGAAGACAUUGAGACAGACAAGGAUACAGACUCAGAUGAAACGAGAAAGAAAAUCAAAAUUGGUGGAGUAGAUGCAGAGGGGAGCAAGGAAAACAUUUCACUGGGUUGUGUAGGGCUUAAGCAGUUUGAGGAAAUGAAGAAGAAGAAUGAUGAAAUUCUAAAUAUUGAGAAGGAAUAUCUGGCUGAGGUUGGAAUGAGGAAAAAAGUGGAAGCUGGUCUAGGUAAAGUACUAUAA
rnacentral:rRNA from 1 species